GGACAUUUCCCUGGAGUGGCUGGAAAAGAGGAAUCUCUCGAAAUUCUGCAACUGCUAACGUUUUGAAAGGUAAAGGCCAUUAGCUUGGAGGCAGAAGACAGACCUCCUUGACUGCUGAAUUCUUCCCGGCCUGAAAUUGGAGCAUUCCAGGCUCCUCAGAUGAGUCAUAAGCUGCCAAGAUUGUGAGCCUCUGGGUAAAUCUCUUGCAAGGAUGGGAGACAAGAUGCCGCCCAGCAGGUGGAGGCCUGGAGCUGGGAGGACGGGAAGCCAGGCGUUGUGCCAGUCAUCAGUGCCAACCGGUCCUGGCUGCAGGGAAUUCUUGGGAUCAGAAAUCCACAGUCUGAGAACUUGUCUAUAAUUUUGCAAUUUCUAUUUUCUUUGCUACAAAGCAGAGAGAAAGCCAAAAGAAAAUAAAGUUCCUCUCAAAAAUGCCAGGCUGUUUGCGCUGGAUAAAAUGGCAUGUGAAGAGUGAAAGAGCCUUUUGUUGAGGCUUGGGGAGAAAGAAAAAGGGGCUGAGAGCGAGGGAAAAUGUAUGGGAAGCCCCCCUCCCCCACCUGGGGAAGAGGCAAAACAGAGAUGGUAGGGAGAAGAGGGUUCCUCUUGCAUGAGCUGAGCCCAGGGAAGGUUUGAGUGUCAUUGAUCAUCAGGGAUCAUACAGACCUGGAUGAGACACUCUCCCGCCACUUUCUAGUGGUGUGGACUUGGAUGUGUUUUAGAAACUCUCUGAACCUCGGUUUUCCCAUCUGUAAAAUGGGGCUGGUGAUAGUACUUCCUCAUAUGCCUUAGGUGAAGAUUGAAUGAAAUAACAUAUACAAAGCCAUUAGCCUAACAUGCUUGGCAUGUGAUCAAGAAUUAAUAGUAACUGUUAUUAGGAUUGCCGUUUUUACUCUGAUUCCUUAUACCUGUCAAUAGUCAGGGUCAU